rnacentral:lncRNA from 1 species
GCGGGAGUCCCGCGCUGAAAGGCAGGGAGAACCUUUCUCGAAACCCGCCUAUUGAAGCUGUAAGCCCUGGGCGCGGGUGGAGGCGAUGGUGGACGAAGAUGUCUGCGUGGUGGAGCAGCGGAAGGCGCGGGUUGGGGAGUGCGGGAAGAGUCUUCCCAGGACCCAGCUCCUAGUUGCAGAGAGGAGCAGGCCGACGUCAGAUGUGGGCUCCCCUGAGGAAGGCGCUUUGGCUCCUAGAACUGUUGGGUAAAUCCGUAGCAGGCAGCCUGGGGAGAGUGAAUCCUGGGGAAGAUGCGAAGAUACUUGGAUCUGCUGAGUCGGUGGAUGAAUGGGAGUACAGUUGGAGAAACAAGGCCAUGAGUGCCCUGUGUGUUCCAAGGGACAGACCUGUAGUGGACUUCCGGUGUGGGAAAGAUCUGGAGUUUGGCCUAAGAAGGGGAGGAAAGCAGAGAUACUUAGAGGAGAGUCGCUCAAGAGAAAGAAAAGGUGGAGUGACAGGUUGGGGGAGGGCAGUGGCAGUUGCCAUAGGGAGUGGAAAUUCAAGAAACAUCUUCUAAAAGGUUAUGAGGGAGCUUCAUUGUGUAAUGCAAAACCUUUCAUGUUACUUUCUUGGAAAAUAAAUUCAGCAAAAGUAACAUCCUUCGUAAUGAUUUGG